GGGGGAGAAAGGGUGAGAAAGAGAGCAUGUGUCAGCGCAGAGCUGAGGUGAGAGAUUGUUCAUGCAGUGAUGGGGAGGUGAGGAGCGGUUGCCGUGGGACCACCUGCUCCUUGUCUCCCCCCUUUUCCGUCUCCCCCUCUUGCACUCAGAAACACCCGGGCAGGGGGAGAGAAAGGGCGACUUCAAAGCCUCCUCUGUCUCAGGUUUGCUCUGCCUCCUCCCUCUCUGAGUGGGUGAGGAGGAGGAGGAGGAGGAAGCUGCAUGUGUGUGCAGGAGGGAGAGGGAGAAUUUAACAUGCGAUUUUCGAUGUGCAGUUGGCCAUGUCUGUGUUUGUUUUGCUGUGUCCUUCUUUUGUUUAUCUUGUUUGGCUUGGCUGUUUGUUAUUAUCAGGAAUGUGCGCGCGCGCACGUGUGUGUGUGUGUGAACUCAUGUAUGAAAAGAGAGAUGACCAAAAUCCCAGUGUGAGAGACCGCGAUAGGAAAGGAUGAGGGGGAGCUGCAAUGUGUGUGUUGUUUUUUCUUCUUGUUGUGUGGGAAAUUAGAUAACAAAAAAAAAGAGAGAGACUUGUGUGUUUGUGCACGUGUGAAGGUGCGCGCGUGUGUCGUUUUGAUGGAGAGGGACCGAGCCAGGCGCUGCAUGGGGGAGAUAUGUGUGUGUCACUGAUUGUGCCAUGAAUGAAAAUAAGGAGAGGGGGGAGGAGAAGGGGGAGGAGGGAUGGAGGGGGGGCUCACACUCUCCUCCCAUUCAGCCAUCUCCCCCCUCCCCUCUCCUCCUCCUCCUCCUCCUCUUCCUCUUCCUCUUGAGUGACAGAUGAGGAGCUGCUCUGCUCAGGCGCGCGUCAAUAAUUAGCGUCCUCUCAUCUUGUUUUCGUCUUUACGCGCAAAAAAGGAGCGAAGCGUCGCCUUCAUCUCGGUCAUUUUCUGAAUUUCUCCCGGCUUUUCUUCUUCCUCCUCUUCUUCUUCUUCCUCUUCCUCCUCCUCCUCCUCUUCCUCCAACGUUGUGCAAUUACGGCACCGGCCCAUGAUCGCUCCUGGACGCACAGACGCACACAUGGAUAGACGACGAGCACAAGCGCGUACCAAACCUUUUUUUUCACACACACACACACACACACACGUUCAUAAACAAACCAAAAAGAAAAAAAAAAUUGCGAGAGCGCGCACUCAUUUGCAGUCUGUCAGUCAGUCGAGCUCGUGCACGCGCGCCGCGGUUCAAGGGCGAUUGAUUUGGAGUUUAAUUUCUCUCCCGGUGCUCUUGACGCAAAAGGAUGCGCCUCCGUCUGACCUUGAAGACAGAAGAGGGGUGGGGGGGGAGUUUAGUCUCUGUCGCCAGGCUCAACCGCUCACGCACGCGCGCGCGCACGCACGGCAUCGUCACCUGGAAAUGUCAAAACCUUCCACGUGCCGUUACAAAUGACCGCUUUCCAUCUGCUUUCUAAUUAUAGCCGUCAUAAAGGCGAACUCCUAAUUUUAGCUGAAAUAUUUUAAUAAUUCACGAAUUCAGACGCAGAGCUGCUCCCGCUGCUGCUCAGCCGACAGAAAGAAGAAGAAGAAAAAAACAAAAAACAAGCCGGACAGGCCCGAUGUUCAAACAAGCAGCUCCUCACACCUGACAGGUGAAGCUGAAGUUUGUAAAAUCCUCCGUUAGGGGACAGUGGAGGCGAUCAGACUGAGCCCUGAGGCGGGGAUGUGUUAGUCUGACACACCGGCCUCCAGCUCGGGCUGACAGUUUCCCCCUAAAAGCAGGAAAACCGCCAUCAGUCGUUUCCAAGCGGCGCGUUUAUGAGUAUCGGAGAUCAGUAGCGGCAGAUGCGCGGAGCCAAGGCGCGUACGUGAUCGCGCCCGUGUGCUUAUAAAGCAUUUUGGCGCAGCUCUCCUCCCCGGGACGCGUUUGUUUUUGAUCAAUGCGGAUCUGAGUGAAGCGUGAUUUUGCCUACAGCGCCGACAUCAGUGGAGACGGACAGGGGUUAAAAACGACAGGCUCUGAAGACGCGCUUUGAAAAGCUCCUCUCAUCUCAGCUCCACGGACGCGCCGACGCACGCGCACGGAGCUGUUUGGUGUGUGGGGUGCGGGAGUUUGCAUUCCACUCACCAGGAAGGAAGAUAGCAAUCAGUGUGGUGAUUUAUCAACAAAAUCUGGAAAUCAACACUUUAAUUGUUAAGAAGUUUAAUUUCCAGGAAAUACGCAGCCUGAGCCGUGGGGGUCAGGGUCGUGGAGGACUCGAACCACACACACCUCGGAACAAUGGGAAGCAGGACAGGAAGCGGGAUUUGCUCUCUGUUGCCAUAGAGACGGGAGGACAGUGGUGUUGGAUACUGUUGCUAGGCAGGAGAGGCUGCCUCCUGAAUGAGCGCGACAACACCUGCAGCACCAGCCGGAGGCGGCGGUCCAUGGCCUGCAGGUGGGGCUGGAUGAGGACGGGCGACAGGCGGUCACGCAGCAGAGACUCCUCCAUCAGAGAGCUCAGCUGGAACUCCUCUUUGGCCAGCAGCUGGAGACGCAGUCGAAGAUGGUCAUAUCCAUGAUGUCCAGCAGUCGAGUUCCUCGGUCGUACGGAGGCAUCUGCUUGACCUCGUCGCAGUAAUCUGGAUCCACCUCCCACCUGAAGACAAGCACGAAGCGUCUCACCACAUGAUACGUAUUUAACGGCUAGUCAGAGUUUUGUGUUGGUGCUAAAGGUGGUGUUCAGGUGUUUUCUUACU